AUUGAACGCUGGCGGCAGGCCUAACACAUGCAAGUCGAGCGGAUGAAGGGAGCUUGCUCCUGGAUUCAGCGGCGGACGGGCGAGUAAUGCCUAGGAAUCUGCCUGGUAGUGGGGGAUAACGUCCGGAAACGGGCGCUAAUACCGCAUACGUCCUGAGGGAGAAAGUGGGGGAUCUUCGGACCUCACGCUAUCAGAUGAGCCUAGGUCGGAUUAGCUAGUUGGUGGGGUAAAGGCCUACCAAGGCGACGAUCCGUAACUGGUCUGAGAGGAUGAUCAGUCACACUGGAACUGAGACACGGUCCAGACUCCUACGGGAGGCAGCAGUGGGGAAUAUUGGACAAUGGGCGAAAGCCUGAUCCAGCCAUGCCGCGUGUGUGAAGAAGGUCUUCGGAUUGUAAAGCACUUUAAGUAGGGAGGAAGGGCAGUAAGUUAAUACCUUGCUGUUUUGACGUUACCAACAGAAUAAGCACCGGCUAACUUCGUG
rnacentral:rRNA from 1 species